CCUACGGGAGGCAGCAGUAGGGAAUCUUUCACAAUGGGCGAAAGCCUGAUGGAGCAACGCCGCGUGCAGGAUGAAGGCCUUCGGGUUGUAAACUGCUUUUAUAAGCGAGCAAUAUGAUGGUAACUUAUGAAUAAGGAUCGGCUAACUACGUGCCAGCAGCCGCGGUCAUACGUAGGAUCCGAGCAUUAUCCGGAGUGACUGGGUGUAAAGAGUUGCGUAGGUGGCAUAAUAAGUAGCUAGUGAAAUCUGGUGGCUCAACCAUUCAGACUAUUAGCUAAACUGUUAAGCUCGAGACCGUUAGGGGUAACUGGAAUUUCUAGUGUAGGAGUGAAAUCCGUAGAUAUUAGAAGGAACACCAAUAGCGUAGGCAGGUUGCUGGGACGGUUCUGACACUAAGGCACGAAAGCGUAGGGAGCAAACGGGAUUAGAUACCCCUGUAGUC
rnacentral:rRNA from 1 species